rnacentral:rRNA from 1 species
GACGAACGCUGGCGGCGUGCUUAACACAUGCAAGUCGAGCGGUAAGGCCCUUUCGGGGGGUACACGAGCGGCGAACGGGUGAGUAACACGUGGGUGACCUGCCCUCAGCUCUGGGAUAAGCCUGGGAAACCGGGUCUAAUACUGGAUAUGACUCCAUGACGCAUGUUGUGGGGUGGAAAGCCUUGUGCGGCUGAGGAUGGGCCCGCGGCCUAUCAGCUUGUUGGUGGGGUGANGGCCUACCAAGGCGACGACGGGUAGCCGGCCUGAGAGGGCGACCGGCCACACUGGGACUGAGACACGGCCCAGACUCCUACGGGAGGCAGCAGGUGGGGAAUCUUGCGCAAUGGGCGAAAGCCUGACGCAGCGACGCCGCGUGAGGGAUGACGG